UCGAACGAGUUCUCGUUGAUGAUCGGUGCUUGCACCAAGAUUGAACAUCCAUCGAGUGGCGGACGGGUGAGUAACACGUGGGUAACCUGCCCUUAAGUGGGGGAUAACAUUUGGAAACAGAUGCUAAUACCGCAUAGAUCCAAGAACCGCAUGGUUCUUGGCUGAAAGAUGGCGUAAGCUAUCGCUUUUGGAUGGACCCGCGGCGUAUUAGCUAGUUGGUGAGGUAAUGGCUCACCAAGGCGAUGAUACGUAGCCGAACUGAGAGGUUGAUCGGCCACAUUGGGACUGAGACACGGCCCAAACUCCUACGGGAGGCAGCAGUAGGGAAUCUUCCACAAUGGACGCAAGUCUGAUGGAGCAACGCCGCGUGAGUGAAGAAGGCUUUCGGGUCGUAAAACUCUGUUGUUGGAGAAGAAUGGUCGGCAGAGUAACUGUUGUCGGCGUGACGGUAUCCAACCAGAAAGCCACGGCUAACUACGUGCCAGCAGCCGCGGUAAUACGUAGGUGGCAAGCGUUAUCCGGAUUUAUUGGGCGUAAAGCGAGCGCAGGCGGUUUUUUAAGUCUGAUGUGAAAGCCCUCGGCUUAACCGAGGAAGCGCAUCGGAAACUGGGAAACUUGAGUGCAGAAGAGGACAGUGGAACUCCAUGUGUAGCGGUGAAAUGCGUAGAUAUAUGGAAGAACACCAGUGGCGAAGGCGGCUGUCUGGUCUGUAACUGACGCUGAGGCUCGAAAGCAUGGGUAGCGAACAGGAUUAGAUACCCUGGUAGUCCAUGCCGUAAACGAUGAAUGCUAGGUGUUGGAG
rnacentral:rRNA from 1 species